rnacentral:lncRNA from 1 species
CAUAUUUCUUGACAAAUUCUAGUCUGCUUGAAGCCCAUUUCUUUUAAACAUUCUGAGCUUCUCUUCUGCAUUUUGAUUUGUUUUGCCACUUCUUUCAUGUGACAGUCUUGUUUCUCUCCUACUGUGUCCAUUUCUUGCCAUUUUGAACUGCAUUAUAAUUCUUUUAGCAUCUAAGUUCGAAUGUUUUUUUUAAUGAUACGGCGAAGAUUGAGCUCCACCAGAUUUUUAACUUUAGGUACACUAAACUUCACACUAUUUAAUUUUUUUCUCAUUUUUAUUUAUUUGUAUCUCAAUUCAUUUAUUUGUUUCACCAAUUAAACUCUACGUCUAACAAGUUGUAGUCUAUACCAAUUAUAUUUUAAUUAUACCAUGAUACCAUAAAUUAUUAACUUAAAUCUUAAUUUUUUCUCUAUCUUUUAUACAGGUAUAUGAAGCUAACUAUUGGAUCAAGACUAAUUGCAAAUGAAGUGUCACUGCAUUCCUCCAUUUCUUAGUCCUAGUUUAGAAGUAAUAUUUCUCAGUUAGACUUUUAUGUUGGACAUAUUCACUUUAGUUAUGUGUCUUUUAAUUUAAGGAGCUUUUAUUUCAAUAU